rnacentral:rRNA from 1 species
UGGGCGACGGCGGCUUACACAUGCAAGUCGAGGGGUAUAGCUCUUCGGUGCUAGAGACCGGCGCACGGGUGCGUAACGCGUAUGCAAUCUGCCUUUCACAGAGGGAUAGCCCAGAGAAAUUUGGAUUAAUACCUCAUAGUAUUAUAGAGCGGCAUCACUUUAUAAUUAAAGUCACAACGGUGAAAGAUGAGCAUGCGUCCCAUUAGCUAGUUGGUAAGGUAACGGCUUACCAAGGCCACGAUGGGUAGGGGUCCUGAGAGGGAGAUCCCCCACCCUGGUACUGAGACACGGACCACACUCCUACGGGAGGCAGCAGUGAGGAAUAUUGGUCAAUGGACGCAAGUCUGAACCAGCCAUGCCGCGUGCAGGAUGACGGUCCUAUGGAUUGUAAACUGCUUUUGUACGAGAAGAAACACUCCUAUGUAUAGGAGCUUGACGGUAUCGUAAGAAUAAGGAUCGGCUAACUCCGUGCCAGCAGCCGCGGUAAUACGGAGGAUCCAAGCGUUAUCCGGAAUCAUUGGGUUUAAAGGGUCCGUAGGCGGUUUAGUAAGUCAGUGGUGAAAGCCCAUCGCUCAACGGUGGAACGGCCAUUGAUACUGCUGAACUUGAAUUACUGGGAAGUAACUAGAAUAUGUAGUGUAGCGGUGAAAUGCUUAGAUAUUACAUGGAAUACCAAUUGCGAAGGCAGGUUACUACCAGUUUAUUGACGCUGAUGGACGAAAGCGUGGGGAGCGAACAGGAUUAGAUACCCUGGUAGUCCACGCCGUAAACGAUGGAUACUACUGUUGGCGCAAGUUCAGUGGCUAAGCGAAAGUGAUAAGUAUCCCACCUGGGCGAGUACGAACGCAAGUUGAAACUCAAAGGAAUUGAAGGGGGGCCCUCACAAGCGGUGGAGCAUGUGGUUAAUUUGAUGAUACUCUAGGAACCUUACUAAGGCUUUAAUGCAGACUGACCGAUUUGGAACCCAUCUUUCCGCAGACCUUUUCAAGUGCUGGAUGG